GUGGAGUAUCACUGUCUUAUUUAUGUUCUUCAUCUUCAAUUUGACUGUUAUUAAUAUACUAUCACUGUCCUUUUAAUUCAAAGUUCAAACUUCAACUGUCUGAUUGAAAUGACACUGCAAUUCAUUUAGAAUUUUGAUGAUUCCUGCAAGAAAAAAUCCAUUCAAAUAAAUGUGGAUGACUGAUAUUGGUACAGUAUCACUUUCAUAUUAAUUGAAGGUUCAAACUUCAACAGUUUGAUCGAGAUGACAUUUACAAUUUCGAAUUUUUAUGCACGGUGCUGAUGUUGCAUUCGAAAAGUGCUGAUGUUGUAUGUGGGAAGCAAGUUGCGUCUUGAGAAUUGACCCAUUGCCCAAGCUUGUAAAAUUAAGCAUGAGAAGAAGCCAUUUCUGUCACCUUCAAAAGGUGGUGGGGGAAAUCAGAUGUAAUUAAACCAUGCCAUUAAAAUGAGGUUAUAGUUAAACAUCAUCCAGUGAAAUGUGAA